rnacentral:siRNA from 1 species
CCAUUUGGGUUCUGCCUAUUA